rnacentral:lncRNA from 1 species
ACAACACUGAGGGCCGUCUCCAGCCUGGAGUCGUUCCUUCGCUUGUCUCAUCAGCCGCCCCCAAGAAUGGUAGCAAAAAAACAACAACAACAAAAAAAAUGAAGGCCCUGGCAGGGCGCGGUGGCUCACGCCUGUAAUCCCAACACUUUGGGAGGCCGAGGCGGGCGGAUCACCUGAGGUCAGGAGUUCGAGACCAGCCUUACCAACAUGGUGAAACCUCGUCUCUACUAAAAAAUACAAAAAUUAGCUGGCCGUGGUCGCGUGCGCCUGUAAUCCCAGCUACCCAGGAGGCUGAGGCAGGAGACUCGCUGGAACCCGGGAGGCAGAGGCUACAAUGAGCCGAGAUCGCACCACAGCUACUCCAGCCUGGGCGACAGAGCAAGGCAACAUCUAAAAAAAAAAAAAUUAAGAUCCUAAUUAAAGUUAAACCCACUAUUUUGCACUGAGUCACGUAGAUUUUCAAAGUCAAGGCUUCAUUGGUCGAUUGUCUGCUCAGUCUUUUUAAAUCAAAUCGUUGACUUUAAAUGUUGACAUCAAAUUGAGGCUUUGGUAAAAUUGACAGGAUUGGCGGUAGCGGGGGGGAACCUUUAAAACUUGUUAGUCUUUCAGAGUCUUCAGUUUUGAAUGAGUUGGUCAAUAUAUGUAUUUAGACAUCAAGCGCCGUAAGUAUGUAUGAUUUUUGUCAACAACACCUUAAUUAUCUUGCACAUACAGGCACUGAUUAUU